CUCCUCGUCCUUUUUUCCCAUCAUCUGGCAAGGUCUUCUCAAGCCAGAGGCACAUUCCCAGGUCCACUGAGGCCCCUGCCCCACCAUGUCCCGCCACUUACCAGCUCACUUGAAAAGGGCACAGAGCUGCGACCACGCUGCUCCAACUCCUCCUGAAGCUGGGGCAAGACUGGCGGUCGGGGGCCCCAAGGGGAAAGGAAGUGGCCCUGGCUCCACCCACCCCCCACCAGCAUCCUGCCCCACCCGCCCCACUCCUACAUUGCCGUGUGAUGAGAGAGGCAUCACUCACUUUUUCAGGGUCCCAGGUGAUGACAGGGGCUCUGGGGUCUCAGCUGCAGCAGGUGGGGAUGGUGGGCGGUUUCUGGAAUGGGGAUUCCUGGAUCUUCGCUGGAAAAUGGGAUGGCAAGCUGGUGACUCUGGAACAGCACCUGGCCUGAUAUUUGAGAACUCCACUUCAAAACGAGAAAGCAGAAACGCCUAUCUUGCAAAUCUCUUCGCAGGUGCCCAUAAAAGAAAAGAAAAAAAAAAAGGUUUCUAGUUAGCGGUCAUUAACAAAAAAGGUGAAUGGCGUCAUUGUUUCCCCUAAGUCAGGAACAAAGAGGACUCAGAGCUUCUGAGUUUUUAAGAUGUAUCCAGAUACCAUACUGAAAAUGUAAUUCCAUCAUUCUUCUAUUCUUUGUCGUUUAGUCACUGAGUUGUGUCUCUGCCACCCCAUGGACUGUAGUCCACCAGGUUCCUCUGUCCAUGGGAUUUCGCAGGUAAGAAUACUGGAGUGGGUUGUCAUUUUCUUCUCCAGGAUAUCUUCCCGAAACAGGGAUCGAACCUGCAUCUCCUGCAUUGCAGGCAAAUUCUUUACCUCUGA
rnacentral:lncRNA from 1 species